rnacentral:rRNA from 1 species
CGAGCGUUGUCCGGAUUUAUUGGGCGUAAAGAGCUCGUAGGCGGUUUGUCGCGUCGUCCGUGAAAACUCACAGCUUAACUGUGAGCUUGCGGUCGAUACGGGCAGGCUAGAGUUCGGUAGGGGAGACUGGAAUUCCUGGUGUAGCGGUGAAAUGCGCAGAUAUCAGGAGGAACACCGGUGGCGAAGGCGGGUCUCUGGGCCGAUACUGACACUGAGAAGCGAAAGCGUGGGGAGCGAACAGG